rnacentral:rRNA from 1 species
UGGAAACUGUNUGACUUGAGUGCAGAAGGGGAGAGUGGAAUUCCAUGUGUAGCGGUGAAAUGCGUAGAUAUAUGGAGGAACACCAGUGGCGAAAGCGGCUCUCUGGUCUGUCACUGACGCUGAGGCUCGAAAGCGUGGGUAGCGAACAGGAUUAGAUACCCUGGUAGUNCACGCCGUAAACGAUGAGUGCUAGGUGUUAGGCCCUUUCCGGGGCUUAGUGCCGGAGCUAACGCAAUAAGCACUCCGCCUGGGGAGUACGACCGCAAGGUUGAAACUCAAAGGAGUUGACGGGGGCCCGCACAAGCGGUGGAGCAUGUGGUUUAAUUCGAAGCAACGCGAAGAACCUUACCAGGUCUUGACAUCCCGAUGCUAUUCUUAGAGAUAGGAAGUUACUUCGGUACAUCGGAGACAGGUGGUGCAUGGUUGUCGUCAGCUCGUGUCGUGAGAUGUUGGGUUAAGUCCCGCAACGAGCGCAACCCUUAUUGUUAGUUGCCAUCAUUAAGUUGGGCACUCUAGCGAGACUGCCGGUAAUAAACCGGAGGAAGGUGGGGAUGACGUCAAAUCAUCAUGCCCCUUAUGACCUGGGCUACACACGUGCUACAAUGGUCGGUACAACGAGUUGCGAGCCGGUGACGGCAAGCUAAUCUCUGAAAGCCGAUCUCAGUUCGGAUUGGAGGCUGCAACUCGCCUCCAUGAAGUCGGAAUCGCUAGUAAUCGCGGAUCAGCACGCCGCGGUGAAUACGUUCCCGGGCCUUGUACACACCGCCCGUCACACCACGAGAGUUUGUAACACCCGAAGUCGGUGAGGUAACCUUUUAGGGGCCAGCC